AGGGGCUCACUGCAGCUAACAGCCUCAACCCUUGGGCUAGGAAGCCACGGGAGCAAAACCUCCGCCCCGGCCUGAAAGCAACCGGUAGACCGCGGAGCCACUGCCACCGACUCAGUCCUGCCCAGCAGGGGCCCGCCCAGGGGCCACUCCCCAAGGGAGGCAGCCACUCACUCGCCCGCCCUUCCGGGCCCACUCCCGAGGGGACGGUCUCCCGCCCGCUCUCACACACAGCUAGCUCCUCAGGCCAGGCCCCCAGGGCUUCGUCCACCUCUCACCUUUGACGACGCGAGUCUGGAAUUGUCAAGAGUCUGAAGGCACAGAAUAAGAAUGCAGCUAGAGCAAUUUCGGCGCCACAGUUUGUCAAAACAGGUAAGGGGAAGAAAGGAGAUGACACCAAGAGAUGUGCAAAGAAUCUGAAGAAUUCACCUGAAAAGGACACAGCUUCCUCCUGGAAGGCAGAGGAGUAAAUAGGGAAUUGGAAAUUAAUUCCUUAUUUCUGUGCAUGCACAGAAUCUGGGCCCAGGUGACUUAUGGACCCUUUAUAGAGACCAAGGUGACUGACAUUCGUGGGAAAGGGGGUAGAGGGAAAAGAACUGACUGUUUAUCAAAAAUUAUUAGACGAGUGCAUCCACGACACCAGAAGAUAUGUUGAAUCAUAGGGACCAGCAUGUCCACUAAGCUCUAUAUAUCUUGAUGGUGCAGGAUCCAAGUGGGAUGGAACAAUAAAUUCCUGCCCAUCGUCCUGCUCAAUAAUACAUGUGCUCAGAAUCUGUUCAUAAUGGAUGGUGACAAGUAAGUAGUAGCCCGAAGGUCUCAAAAAGUACCUUUCUACCUCUUCUUUGUGUCAGUUUCAAUCCUGAGACCCGAGGUGAAAGACGAAGGGAAAGACCAACAAUGGGUAUUUUCCAAACAGGGAACCCACAAGCUAUUAUUUAGAGGGAAGAGUCUCAGGAGUGAGGCACGGGUGAAAAUGGAUUUUUCUGGCAUGGAAGGGCCAUAACACCACAGGGGAAGGGAAAGGGAGAGGUCCCCAUGGAAGGAGAGGAAGGAAGAGGAGGCAUGUCACAAACUUAUAGAGGAAAGGCACCCGGAGUACAUCCAUCAGGAGUGAGUUUGUUAGAAGAGCUUGAAUGCCCAGAAAAUCUCCCUAAGGAGGGGAGGAAGGAAGGAAGUGUAUAAUGUACUGAGUACUGAAUGCUGUAUCAGGAAAGGGAUGGGAAACAUCCUAGCAGCAAUAGUAAAAAGGAAAGGCACCCUAUUUUAGGACCCAUUGAUUCCCACCUUGAUUGUAUAUCCUUCAACUCCUGUCUGGCUGCUCACUUCCACUCAGUCAAAAGGCACUUCAUAUAUUUAUCUAGGCCUCCCCGCCCCAGUACAAAAAAAGCAAGAGCAUACAAAGGGAAGAAUGACAAGGAAUUAAAUAGAACUAUCUUAUAGAUUUAUUAAUGAAAAAUACUUUACAAAAACAGUAUGUUUGGCCUAAAAUAGUUCAGCUGACUCUGAGGGUUCACAACAACAACUGAGCAAGUGGUAAUAAUGGCUGUGCUGAGGAAAGAAGGCUGUGUUAGUGUGCCUGACUCCAUCUGUUCAAAAGGGUGGAUGUUAUGUUGGCAGCUCCGCGUUCUAGGCCUAAGGCUUGGAGGGCACAAGGAAUGCUGACAGGCCAUAAUACCUGGGCAGGGGGCUGCCCUGAUGAUGUAAUCAGAACCAUGACCACAGGGCUACAUGUCCCCCCAAGGAUGGGAGAUAGGGAAGACAAAGGGUCAGGUAAUAGGGAUAGGUGGAUAAAACAAAGAGUAGAAGUUGGGAAUAUAGUAGGGAACAGAGAACGAGGGCUCAGGUGGAGGUGGGGACAUAAAGCAUCCAGGAAUAAAAUGUGACCUUAAGAUCCUAAGGAAUGGCUAGUAUCCAGAGUAAUACCAUGGAUUCAUCUUUAAAGUGGCUCAGAUAAAACCCUUAAACAGCAGCUGCUUCCUUUUGCUAGGGGGAAUGGAAGUUGGAAUUUCAAAUAUCCCCUCCCAAAGAAUCAGGUCUUUUUAGAGGUUCCUGACACCCUUAAGAGAACCCACCAAUUCUAUGUUGAGAUAAGAAGAGCACAACCAUGGCAGUGAUGCAGGGUACCAAUGCUGCCACAGUACAGUUUGUUUUGUUUUGUUUUGUUUUCUGAGACGGAGUCUCACUCUGUUGCCAAGCUGGAGUGCAGUGGUGCGAUCUCAGCUCACUGCAACCUCUGCCUCCCGGGUUCAAGCAAUUCUCCUGCCUCAGCCUCCCGAGUAGUUGGGACUACAGGCAUGCACCAUCACGCCUGGCUAAUUUUUUGUAUUUUGGUAGAGACAGGGUUUUACCAUGUUGGCCAGGAUGGUCUCAAUCUCCUGACCUUGUGAUCCGCCCACCUCAGCCUCCCAAAGUGCUGGGAUUACAGGCAUGAGCCACCGCGUCUGGCCCACAGUACAGUUUUACAUAGAAAGGUGUAGCUCCAGGAAAGGAAAGGAGUAACCUUUACCAUCGACUGUGCUGCAGCACUCUAGCCCUGAUCUGCUCUCUUCUGGAGGCAUCUGAUAGAACAAACAGAAACCCUUCUCCCACUGUCCUCCUGUGUCCAGAGCGGGAGGCAUAACUGCUUUGCCUCCAGUCGUCAUCUGGGGGCAUAUCUACUCUUCGAGGACCAGGGGUUCGGGACCCUGGAACAGGAUCUGAAUUCCAAUCUGACCUCCGGGGUAUAUGAAGACUGCUAGAUGGUGGGUACACAGGAUAAACAAUGGGAGGGUGGGAGGGUGAAUGGAAAAGAUCACCCCAGGACUGAGCGUGAGGAACCUGAAGGCCCUUGCUUCUUUCUGGUAGUGUGGCAGUGUAGGUUAGCUGAGGAUUGCACCCUGGAGUAGUCAGGAAUCUGGUCCCAAUAUGCUGGUUGGUCUCUGACCAGGGUGCCCAGGAGGUGUCUGUUCUGGAACGAUGGGGGAGGCUCUGGUAAUUCAAAGUCCUUCCUGUGUACUUGGCCCCUUGGGAAGUUUCACCCCUGUCACACAUAGCCAGAAACUGCUGGACACUCCUCGAAGUUCCUGGGGAAAGAAAAGAAACCCAAAGACUGAGCAUCUUCAGAAUACCAUUCUUCCCAGAGAGCCAUGCCUAGCUGUUUAGCCCAAUUCCCUACCAAGAGCAUAUACACAAGGGAAAGAAAGAACCAAGCUGUGCUUUUGAUUCCAUUUUUUAAAAUUCUUAAUAUACAUCAAAAUCAAAUAUCAUACCUCCAACCUGGGCAAAUGAAACAGUCUCAUGGAUGUUGCCAUACCUCUACCUCCCUCCACUAUAAUCUCUCAUCCACUAUACACACGUAUACAAAAGGAGGGCUCCCUAAUAUAUAGCAAUAUUUAGCAAACGUAUACUCCAUUUGUGAUGACUAUAUUUCUAGAACCACCAUACCAAAACCUCACUCAGCUUUUCUUUUUUAAAAAAAUAGAGAUGGGAUCUCACUAUGUUGCCCAGGCUGGUCUCAAACUCCUGGGCUUAAGCAAUCCUCCCAUCUUGGCCUCCAAAGUGCUGGGAUUACAAGUGUGAGACACUGUGCCUGACUUUUUUUUUUUUUUCCAACUUUUCUUAAAAUGUUAUCUUCACUUUAGUUAAGCUGCCUUCGUUUGAUCUCUGAGAUCUAAUGUGGAAUGCCUCUUCUUAUACAUUUAUUCAACUU